rnacentral:rRNA from 1 species
CAGGACGAACGCUGGCGGCGUGCCUGACACAUGCAAAGUCGAACGGGGUAACGUCGCUGAAAUUGAGAUCAGCUUGCUGAAGGAAAUUCUUGAGUUACUUAGUGGCGGACGGGUGAGUAACGCGUGAGCAACCUGCCUUACAGAGGGGGACAACAGUUGGAAACGACUGCUAAUACCGCAUGACGUCGCGGGACCGCAUGAUCCUGCGACCAAAGAUUUAUCGCUGUAAGAUGGGCUCGCGUCCGAUUAGAUAGUUGGUGAGGUAACGGCCCACCAAGUCGACGAUCGGUAGCCGGACUGAGAGGUUGAACGGCUACAUUGGGACUGAGACACGGCCCAGACUCCUACGGGAGGCAGCAGUGGGGGAUAUUGCACAAUGGGCGAAAGCCUGAUUGCAGCAACGCCGCGUGAAGGAAGAAGGUCUUCGGAUUGUAAACUUCUGUUUUCGGUGAAGAAACAAAUGACGGUAGCCGAAGAGGAAGCCACGGCUAACUACGUGCCAGCCGCUGC